UUUCUGGGGAUUGGCUCAGUGGGUGAGCAUUUGCUUUGCACGCAGAAGGUCCCAAUCUUCAAUUCCUGGCAUUGGCAAUUUGAAAA
rnacentral:tRNA from 1 species